GGCUUUUUGUAUAUUUUGGUGAUAUAUAAUCAGAUUUACUGUUGGGUUGACUUAUAUCAUCAGAUUAUAUCACCAAAAUAUUUAAAAAAUCUAUUUUCGUACCAAUUAUAAUAUCAGCAUGGCAGCCUUUAGGGCUAUGUUUACGUGCAUACAUACACACAUAAUUAAGUGGCAAGACAAACAUCAAGAACUCUCCUAUAUAUAUAACAUAGGCUGUAAAUAUGGAUAUACCUUUAAAGUAAUGGAAGGGGUUUGGAAGAAUGUGAAAAAACGGUUAGAAAGGCCACAACAAAGGAAUGUACUGACCCAACAAAAUGAAAUAUGUA
rnacentral:lncRNA from 1 species